CUUCUCUAUGGACACAGAAGAGCUCGGAGCUCAAGUCCGUGAUCAGAAGCCUCCCACUGCAUGGUUACACAACGAGGGUGAAGACCGCUGAACGUCUAGCUUCUGAUGACGUACGGACAGAGGAAAGGCUGAAGAACACCUGCUUUUGCUAGAAAAGAUGAAAAAAAGGUUCAGAGACCACAAGGGUAUUAUGAGAAAAGAAGUCCUGCAGUGGAAAGUUUAUUCCGUUCCACUGGAUUACAAAUUCCAUGCACAAGACGCAGCCUCAGUAGUAAGAUAAACUGGGAAAAAUACUACCAAAUGCUCCCCGCGCCUCUUCCUGACAGAGAAAUCAAGUCCAGCGGUCUCAAGCUCCACAGUUACCACUGGUAGAAAUCCCUGGAGACCCAUGUAAAGUUGCACCCUAGGAGUUACAUCUUCACACAGUCUACACUGAACAGCUUCUGGUUCUGACCAUGCCUAUGACUGAUCACUUGUAUUUUGGGCAGAACUGGGUAAACUUAUCUUCUCACCCUUCUAUCUGAACAUUCAAGAUGGAAGAAAGGGUUUUAAAGACUUACCUCAUUAUUCCAAAAUGUUUUAUUCAUCAAGGAAUACAAUAAUGUCAGAGGAAGAUAUAAACUCACUCUUUGCUAACUAUUACUCACCUCUGUGAUGAAUAGAAGGAACUCCUACUUACCUUAUCACCAAAAUACAGAGCUUUCUGUCAUUAAGUGGCUUUCUUAGAUCUUUUUAAGCAGCAAGUUUUGCAUACAAAAUUAUUAAAUCCUACAGGAUUAGAAAAAAAGCACCACCCCCUGUCCAGAUAAAUUUGAUAUGAGCUUCUUUGAAAAUUGCCUAGUAGUUAACGGCAAUAUACUUCAAGGAGCAAUUACAUAAAAUUCUAACCACAGGAAAAGCUCUCUUUCCGUCAGUGCCCAUCAAAUACGUUAUUUCUAAAUUGGCUCCUGUGUUUUUAUUAAAUCCUUUCUUGAGAUCUGAGUUUUGAUCCCUAACUCUCAAAAUUGAUUAUUUGUCACUAUAUUUGAUGUUAAAGUCAUGUAUUACUACAGCUUUUAUAACUGUUCCUUUUCACUGAAACCUGUGAACACACCCACAAAACCCAACCCAGAAGUCCGACAGAUAUUUGUUUUCUCACCCUGCAGCUCCUCUUUCUGACUAUG
rnacentral:lncRNA from 1 species